AACGAAAAGAGGGAAAGAGCUUGCUCUUUCCGGAAUUGAGUGGCAAACGGGUGAGUAACACGUAAACAACCUGCCUUCAGGAUGGGGACAACAGACGGAAACGACUGCUAAUACCGCAUAAGCCCACGACCCGGCAUCGGGUUGAGGGAAAAGGAGCAAUCCGCUUUGAGAUGGCCUCGCGUCCGAUUAGCUAGUUGGUGAGGUAACGGCCCACCAAGGCGACGAUCAGUAGCCGGACUGAGAGGUUGACCGGCCACAUUGGGACUGAGAUACGGCCCAGACUCC
rnacentral:rRNA from 1 species